UGAUUUAGCGGCGGACGGGUGAGUAACACGUGGGCAACCUGCCCUGCAGACUGGGAUAACUUCGGGAAACCGGAGCUAAUACCGGAUAAUCCAUUUUACUUCAUGGUGAAAUGUUGAAAGGCGCUUUCGCGCCACUGCAGGAUGGGCCCGCGGUGCAUUAGCUAGUUGGUGGGGUAACGGCCUACCAAGGCGACGAUGCAUAGCCGACCUGAGAGGGUGAUCGGCCACAUUGGGACUGAGACACGGCCCAAACUCCUACGGGAGGCAGCAGUAGGGAAUCUUCCACAAUGGACGAAAGUCUGAUGGAGCAACGCCGCGUGAGUGAUGAAGGUUUUCGGAUCGUAAAACUCUGUUGUAAGGGAAGAACAAGUACGUUAGGAAAUGAACGUACCUUGACCGUACCUUAUUAGAAAGCCACGGCUAACUACGUGCCAGCAGCCGCGGUAAUACGUAGGUGGCAAGCGUUGUCCGGAUUUAUUGGGCGUAAAGCCCGCGCAGGUGGUUUCUUAAGUCUGAUGUGAAAUCUCGCGGCUCAGCCGCGAGCGGUCAUUGGAAACUGGGGAACUUGAGUGCAAAAGAUGAUAGUGGAAUUCCAAGUGUAGCGGUGAAAUGCGUAGAUAUUUGGAGGAACACCAGUGGCAAAGGCCACUGUCU
rnacentral:rRNA from 1 species